CCAACGGGUGGCUGCAGUGAGGAAUAUUGCGCAAUGGGGGCAACCCUGACGCAGCAACGCCGCGUGAGUGAGGAAGGUUUUCGGAUUGUAAAGCUCUGUCGAGCGGAAAGAAAUGCAUUAUGGCUAAUAUCCAUAGUGCUUGACGGUACCGCUAGAGGAAGCACCGGCUAACUCCGUGCCAGCAGCCGCGGUAAUACGGGGGGUGCAAGCGUUGUUCGGAAUCAUUGGGCGUAAAGCGCGUGUAGGCGGCUGGACAAGUCAGAUGUGAAAUCCCCGGGCUUAACUCGGGAAGUGCAUUUGAAACUGUCUGGCUAGAGUAAGGGAGAGGAAAGUGGAAUUCCUGGUGUAGAGGUGAAAUUCGUAGAUAUCAGGAGGAACACCGGUGGCGAAGGCGACUUUCUGGCCCUAUACUGACGCUGAGACGCGAAAGCGUGGGUAGCAAACA
rnacentral:rRNA from 1 species